CCACCUGAGCAAGGAGAACCUUGGAGCCGUCGGGGGAGGAAGCAGGUCUCCCCUCGCUGCGGCAGCGGCGGCCGAGAGGGGCACAGGGGGCCAGGCGCUGUCCAGGCCGCGGGGAAGCCCCUGCCUCGUCCUCUUCGGGGGCUGCCCUCUCGAGAGAGGCUCCGAGCCGCCGCUAGCCAAGCGAGCCCCGCCGCUCAGCUCCGAGCCGCCGCGCAGCUUCCGCGGGGAGGAGCCGGCCCGCCCCCGACGGCCCGCGGGAGACCAAGCAGGUGCCUCCCUUCCGGGCCGUUGCCAGCCCGGGACGCCCCAGGGCUGCUGUGGCAUGCGCUGCUGCUGCCAAACCGGGAAGGAGAGCUGGCCCCCUCGACGGGCCCCCCACCUGGGAGGGGCCGCCUCCCGGCCGAGAACAAGGAGACAGCCGCUUACCUGGCCGGGCGGCGCUCACCUGGACUAGGCCACGCCCCUCGGGCCCUGCUGCUCACACCUACCGACGCACGCUGCCCUGCGAAGGAACGCCUGGGCAGACCCACGUGCUGCCUCCUCUGGAGAGACCUUCCUCGGCUGCAGCUCUUCCCAGCUCCAAGGUUUAACGUUUUGUUCUGUUUGUCUAAUUGUGCAUCACGCCUUCGUAUCCCACCCUGGCAUCUCAGGAUGAAAAGCUGGCCUGGAGAACCUUUUUCAACUUGAGGGCCGCAUUCCCUUCUGGACAACCUCCAAAGGGCCACAUGCCAGUGGCUCCAGAGGCAAAAAAAUGGCCACCCUCCGCAGCCAGGUAUGAUGCACCUUGACUUGGGG